CCUACGGUGUGCAGCAGUGGGGAAUAUUGGACAAUGGGCGAAAGCCUGAUCCAGCCAUGCCGCGUGUGUGAAGAAGGCCUUCGGGUUGUAAAGCACUUUCAGUGGGGAAGAAAGCCUUGGGGCUAAUACCCUCGAGGAAGGACAUCACCCACAGAAGAAGCACCGGCUAACUCCGUGCCAGCAGCCGCGGUAAUACGGAGGGUGCGAGCGUUAAUCGGAAUUACUGGGCGUAAAGCGCGCGUAGGCGGUCUGAUAAGCCGGUUGUGAAAGCCCCGGGCUCAACCUGGGAACGGCAUCCGGAACUGUCAGGAUAGAGUGCAGGAGAGGAAGGUAGAAUUCCCGGUGUAGCGGUGAAAUGCGUAGAGAUCGGGAGGAAUACCAGUGGCGAAGGCGGCCUUCUGGACUGACACUGACGCUGAGGUGCGAAAGCGUGGGUAGCAAACAGGAUUAGAUACCCUGGUAGUC
rnacentral:rRNA from 1 species